GAUGAACGCUGGCGGCGUGCCUAAUACAUACAAGUCGAGCGAAUGGAUUAAGAGCUUGCUCUUAUGAAGUUAGCGGCGGACGGGUGAGUAACACGUGGGUAACCUGCCCAUAAGACUGGGAUAACUCCGGGAAACCGGGGCUAAUACCGGAUAACAUUUUGAACCGCAUGGUUCGAAAUUGAAAGGCGGCUUCGUAUGUCACUUAUGGAUGGACCCGCGUCGCAUUAGCGAGUUGGUGAGGUAACGGCUCACAAAGGCAACGAUGCGUAGCCGACCUGAGAGGGGGAUCGGCCACACUGGGACUGAGACACGGCACAGACUCCUACGGGAGGCAGCAGUAGGGAAUCUUCCGCAAUGGACGAAAGUCUGACGGAGCAACGCCGCGUGAGUGAUGAAGGCUUUCGGGUCGUAAAACUCUGUUGUUAGGGAAGAACAAGUGCUAGUUGAAUAAGCUGGCACCUUGACGGUACCUAACCAGAAAGCCACGGCUAACUACGUGCCAGCCGCCGCAGUAA
rnacentral:rRNA from 1 species